AUGCCCCCUGGAGCCCUGGGCCCGAGUGGCAGGAAGCUAGGACCUGAGGGCCCCCAGGACUCUGGGACCUCAGCCCCCUCCCAGCCACGGUCAGUUCUCACAGCUGAGAUGACUCUCGGCAGAGGUCCCAGGCAGCCCUGCAGGGCUGGGCCUGGCUCCUGGUCACCUGUCCAGACUUUUCUGGAAUCCAGCGUGUCAGGAGGAGGCCACGGAUGAAGGCCAGCCAAGAGCCUGGCUCCUAGGAGGUGCACACGAGGGCCACGCCCAGGUGGAGCUUCCCAACGUGGCUCAGCUCACGCCGUCCAAAGCCCGAACUCACCAGUGUCUCGGUGGCUGCUAGCCCCUCCCGCCCCGCCCUUCAGUCCUGGGAUUGAACACAGAGCUGUUUUACCCUUGAGCCACAUCCGGGCCCUUAUUUAUUUACACAUCUUUAUUUGUUCUUUUUAGCUCUACAUGACAGUGGAGUGCAUUCUGACAUAUCGUACAGACGUGGAGUAUGAUUUAUUCUAACAGGGAUCCCAUUCUUGUGGUUGAGCAUGCGUGGGGUUUCAUGGUCGUGCAUUCAUACUUGAACAGAGGAGAGCGAUGUCCAUCCAUUCCACUGUCCUUCCCAUUCCCAUCCUCCCCGCUUCCCUCACUCCCUUUUGUCUAACCAAUCAACUUCUACUCUCCCCCCUAUUGUUUGCUCGCAUCCACAUAUCAGAGAGCACAUUUGGCCUUUGACUUUUUAAUUUAGAAACUAAGAGUUUCUGAGGCUGACCUUGAUGUGCUGAUCCUACCUCUGCCUCCCAGUAGCUGGACCAUGGGGCACACCACCACGUCUGUCUGAAUGCCCAGCAGCUUGUGAGGAACAGGCAGGCGGGUCUGGGUGCUGGUCUGCUGAUCCCAAAGGCCCGGAAUGGCAGGGCUGGCCACCAGCCUGUGGUGCUAUGAAGGUGGUGCGACCUUGAGGUCCCAGCGGGAGGGAGUUCAGUCACUGGGGCCUGUCCUGGAAGGGGACAUUGGGACCCAGACUUCUCUCUUUGCAUCCACCAUGAGGUGAGCAGCUAUCCUCCAAAACAUGGACCCUGGGAUGAUGUUCUGCCUCCACACAGGCUCAGAGGCAUGCAGCCGGCAGCCCACGGGUGACACGGUGGAGCCUCGGCCCAGAGCAAGCUCCCCUCCCUGAGUCCAGUGUCCAGGUACUGUGUGGAGGCUCUGCAGUGCUGACAUCAGGUGUGUGAGGGCAGCAGUGAAGGACACAGUGUCACCAUCUGCAGGGUCAACGGGGUUUCCUGCUACCUGGGGAACGGUCACAGGUUCUCACACUUCUGAGAGCAGAGGUGACACCCAGGGGAGGCCCACAGGUUAGGACUUAGUGGCUCACUGCAGGGACAAGAGAUGGACACCCAGGGGAGGCCCACAGCUCAGAGGUUGGUGUCCCACUGCAGGUGGACACCCAGGGGAGGCCCACAGCCCCGGGGUUGGUGUCCCACUGCAGGUGGACACCCAGGGGAGGCCCACAGCUCCAGGGUUGCUGUCCCACUGCAGGUGGACACCCAGGGGAGGCCCACAGGUUAGGACUUAGUGACUCACUGCAGGGACAAGAGAUGGACACCCAGGGGAGGCUCACAGCUCAGAGGUUGGUGUCCCACUGCAGGUGGACACCCAGGGGAGGCCCACAGCUCAGAGGUUGGUGUCCCACUGCAGGUGGACACCCAGGGGAGGCCCUCAGCUCAGGGGUUGGUGUCCCACUGCAGGUGGACACACAGGGGAGGCCCACAGCUCCGGGGUUGGUGUCCCACUGCAGGUGGACACACAGGAGAGGCCCACAGCUCUGGGUUGGUGUCCGGCUGCAGGGAGGAGACCCAGUCUCAGGGAGCUUCCAUUGUUUCUGACUUGGAUCCUCAUCAUCAUGAGCAAGGCGCCUCCCUGGAGUGGCGGUAGUGGACGUCUUCAUGAGUUGUUUUCUCUUUUAGGUGGUUGGAGUUGAUUCUUCCCAUGUUUUCUCUACAUGUUUGCGAGCUAUCUUUGAAGUGUGGUGGCAAAUGGCAUAAACUCUGGUCUGUGGUUGUGGACUCAGGGUGCAUGGAAGGCAGGUGACCCCAGGGCCAUGGGACAUCAGAUGUGUAGGGCACAAUAACUUUUGAGUCAUGGUGUCCUCCUGGGCAGGUGGUGAGCAGAUGUCUUCAUCCUGGAGUUUCCGUUUCUCGGGGGAAUCCAGGGUUCCCUCAGCUUGCUCCUUCCCGCUCCUAGUCAGGUGCUGCCUUCCACCAAGAACGCCAAGCUCCCGGAAACAAGAACAUCUGCCAGGAAGAGCUGGAGUGAGCAGGGCCAGAGAUGUCCUUGCCCCCACCCUCCCGUGCCCCCGCAGGCGUGGAAACAAGCUCCGGGAGUGUCCUGUGGAGCUCUGGGGAAAGGGGGACUUGAAGAAACAGACUUCUGUUCCGUGGCGGGGAGCCCAGUUCUCUCUGCUUUUAUCCAGGAGCUGUUUAUGACCACUCCUUGGAGCUCCUCUUCUUUCUCAAAUCUUCCACCUCAGGACAGAUUGUCUGGCCCUCCUCCCUCUUCUGUGAUUUAUUCGUCCCGUCGUCCUGCAGGCACUUGGGUUCUGCUUUCCACUCUUCUCCGCCUUGGACACUUAGCCCCUACCUUGCGCACCUUGAGUACACCUGCUCCUUGCCACGCACCUUGCUACACGUGCUCCUGCGCACAGACGCGCACGUGCGUUCGUUCCCGCAGUCCUCGGGGUUUUCUGGGUCCAAGAUCAGUAGCGUCGCUCCCCGGGAUCCCCGCUGCAGGCGUCAGAGCUCUUGAGUGAGAUGGAGAGUCGUGCAUGGUGCUGGCAGCCACUCGCCCCUGAUGACCAGAGGGCCAAACCCCGUGCUCCCUAUGAGGAAGUGCCGGGCAUUACUGCGUUCUGUCCUGGAGACUGCUGAGCUGGCAUCUCCUCGCCCCUCUGAAAGCACCCUGCAGGGAGUUGAGCAGCCCUGAACACAGAUAUUGGCUCACAUCUGUGUGCCUGGGGCCGAGUAGGCACUGACACCGCAGGCUGACCCGGUGUAGCUGGGUUUCCACCUGAGGUUUAGUCCAGGCCCAGUGAGUGCCCAGUGCCAGGCAGCGGGCAGGUUUUCAGGCUUGCAGGGCUUCCCUGUUUACCCAGUGCUGAGGCUUUGCUCCAGGAUUCAAGGCUUUCAGAGGUGAGCAGAGGGACAUUCUGGGGCAUCAGGAUGCUGGCCAGCCAAGAUUAGAGUCAAGCAUGGGCAGGAAGUAGGGAGUAGGGUGCUCCAUGGAAUCAGGGUCAUUGACAUCAGCCCCUCCAUGCAGGCUAUGGAGAAAGUACUCCUUAUAAAGUUGAAAGAAAAUGAAGCCCCUUUGGUUUUUUUCUUGAAAGAAACAAUUCUGCACACUGGAAAGCCCUUGAGAGUGGGCACAGUGGGCAGGAGGCGAGGAGAGCUGUGUCUGAGCCUUUCCUGCCUUUGGCGAAUGUGGCUUGGGUCUGCUUCUGUUUUCGGCUGUGCUGACCAUGACCUGUAGGUGCCAUUGGGGAAGGAGCUCUUCCUCCAAACCCUUUGCUCAGCUUGUCGACAGAGAACAUGAGGUUGCCCCGCAUGUGCAAACACUAAGCUCUUGCCAGCUCAUGAUGAUAUUGCAAAAGUUGUGUAGGUGCCAGGAACAGAGAUGGCGUGGCAGGAAGAUUCCACCCAGCAAGUACAAGCUCGUUGGGAAUUUAGAAAGAAGGGUUCUGAAGCACACGAAGUUUGCAUUUUUGAGGUUGCCCCCAGAACUGGGCGUUUGCUGAUGAGGGCCCCUCACCUGCAUCCCUCAGCGGCAAUAGGCACCAUGGUGGGGCAAUUAGCAGCUGGCAGAGUGGCAGAGUAUCUCGGUAUUCCACCAGGCUGGUGCAGAGAGGGACCAAGCCACAGAGACUCAGCCUUCAGGCACACAGCACUCUGAAUAGGCGUGUCCAGCCCUGAGGCCUUGUUCCUAGGGAAGGCUUGACCACAUUAGGAUACUGGUGCUGAGCCCCUGCUACAGCUUCAGGUAGGGUGAUGAGGCCUUCAGUUUCUGAUAAAAAGUGGCUGGUUGGGAGAAAUGUGGUCUAGAUUCUUCCAUUUGUAAACGUAACAAAAGCCUAAAUUUUUUAAAAAUAAAAUAAAACAUGUACAAAAUCCACAUGUCCAAGGAUGCCAAAGCAGCAUGUGGACAUUGAAGUCCUCAGUGGGAGGUGGAGGCGGAGGAGAGCCUGCUAGGCUGCAGGUUAGCUGUGGGGUGGGCUCCAGGCAGCACCUGCUUAUCUGCAGGGAGGCCAGCCAGGAUCCUGUCUUCACCAGCCUCCACUGGAGGCAGGAAGCCGGCGCUGGCAGGGAGGCUCAGUAAGACCCAUGAAGUGCCAGCCAGACCUGCUGCAUGUCAGGCCAACAUGGUGCGAACCUAGAGGUGGACCUGUGCCUUCAGGAGUGGCAAGAUGACAUUCCUGUGGGGUGACGCGUUCCUCAAGUCCUGUUGGCAGCUGCAGACCCACUUGGGGUGCAUGCACCUGGAGAAAAGGGUUUGUAGGGAGACCAAUCAACCAACCAACUGUCCUCCGGUCCAGCACCUGCGCGGGUGUCUUCUGAAGCCUGGUAUGCUGUGGUGAGUCAGUUUCCCCUCACUCCAUGUUUGGGAUGGUGUCCCCAGGCCACCUGGCUUUGGAAAUCACUGGUCGGUAGCCCUGGGACUUCCCUCCCUGAGUCACUGCAUGCUGUGUCUGCCUGGUGAGGAGACAGGACUUGUGCUGCCCUGAGGGCCCAUGGGCUCAGGCCACGACAGGCAGGUGAGAAAGUGAAUUCCUGAGCCCUGUACAUCCUGCCUCCAGCACUGAAGGAAUUUGGGGCUGCAGGCCAGGACGACGGGUGUAGAGUUGAGGGAAGCCAGGCGAGCCGGAGGGAAGCAGGUGUGGGCUCGUGUCAGCCCUGUCCCCACGGGCCCGGCACAGGGCUGUCAGUGAAGGCCGCUGGCAGCUGGUGGCUGAAGCAACAGGCAGCAGCCUGCCUGCCUGCAUACUGGCCCAGCUCACUGUGGUCCUUGGGCAAAUCCUCCAGAGCUUAGGAUUGAGUCCUGCCAGGAAUCACGGCAAGGCCAGAGGUCCUUUCAGGAGAAGGACCACUCAGAGGGGGGCUUAGAAGGGGUCGAGGCUGACCCAGGAAAAGCUGUCUUCCCAUGGCUAGAAGCCAGUCACCAUGAGGCCACCUAGUGCAGAGGCCACCAGCUCAAGAGAGGCUACUACUAGGCAGUUACCUGGAGCAGCUGUGCCAGGCAGCCGCAGGCAUCCCAGGGACAGCAGCUGCUCAGGCCUGGUCAAGCAUCCUCGUGUGGUGCAUGACAAUGACAAGCGGCACAAGAUGACCCCCAUGGCAGAGUGGACACAACAAGGUUUCCCCUUGUUAGUUCUUUUUUAUUUUCUUUUUAAAUUUUAAAAGAAAUUGAAACCUUUCCAAUGUCUGAAAAUGCCACUAAACCCUGGCUCUGUCUCAGAUGCAGGUGGAGGACAGCUCCUCGGGGAACACAGGACAGAGAGGGUGUACUGGCCUGCACCUGCUCGGGGGAGAGCCCCAGUUUCCUUCUAAAAGAUGGGGUCUCAGAACUCUCUGCCUUCCCCCUUCCCAGUAGCUGUGGUGUACAGCAGCAGGGCAACACACUAGAUCCAGGGGUAUGGCCUGGGACUGCUCUGGGAGCGGUCCUUAGAGUGUAGGUGAACAGAGCUAGGGCUGUGGUCACCUAUGGAGCGCCACCAGAGCCAGGGAAGAAGAGCGGUUCCCUCCAGACAGCCAUAGGAGGACUCCAACUUGAUGACUCAUCUUGACCUGUGUCCUCCCUUCCUUUAGGUCCUUCCUCCUCCGUCCUCUUCCUGCUCUGCAGUCUCCUUCCUGUCCUGUGUCCUCCCUUCCUUUAGGUCCU